rnacentral:rRNA from 1 species
AUGGUUUGGACCGUUCGUGUGCCACUGAAGAUUCGCAUAUUCAUGUGGCAAUGGAUCCGUGGUAGGCUCCCUUCUGGUGUGGAGGUAUGCAAGCGCAAUGGCCCGGGCACCGGUAUCUGCCCGCUCUGUGGCGUCCCGGAGGACUCGAACCACAUCUUCUUCUCCUGCGUCUCUGCUCAAUUCCUCUGGAGCUGCUUUUGUGAAGUCGUCGGCGGGAGUCGGUGCCACACCAACUUCCCGGACCUAUUUGCUGAACUCCAACUGUCCCCCGUGUCCGCGCGCCACAUUAGGUGGCUUCAAGUUGGGGUGCUGGCCUGGACGUUGUGGACCGUUCGCAAUAAACUUGUGAUCCAGCACGCUCCCCUCCGUCGCUCUACUAACGUCCUCUACAAAUUCUCGGGUUUUUUGCAGCUUUGGCGGCCGCUUAGUCGCCCCCCGGACCGUGACGCCAUCUCCGCCUUCAUCGCCGACAUCCGAUCGAUGGCCGUCCUCCUCUCUCCGCCGCCUCCGCCGCCUCCGCCGGAGCCUGAUUAG